rnacentral:rRNA from 1 species
GAUGAACGCUGGCGGCGUGCUUAACACAUGCAAGUCGAACGAUGAAGCCCAGCUUGCUGGGUGGAUUAGUGGCGAACGGGUGAGUAACACGUGAGUAACCUGCCCUUAACUCUGGGAUAAGCCUGGGAAACUGGGUCUAAUACCGGAUAGGAGCGUCCACCGCAUGGUGGGUGUUGGAAAGAUUUAUCGGUUUUGGAUGGACUCGCGGCCUAUCAGCUUGUUGGUGAGGUAAUGGCUCACCAAGGCGACGACGGGUAGCCGGCCUGAGAGGGUGACCGGCCACACUGGGACUGAGACACGGCCCAGACUCCUACGGGAGGCAGCAGUGGGGAAUAUUGCACAAUGGGCGGAAGCCUGAUGCAGCGACGCCGCGUGAGGGAUGACGGCCUUCGGGUUGUAAACCGCUUUCAGUAGGGAAGAAGCGAAAGUGACGGUACCUGCAGAAGAAGCACCGGCUAACUACGUG